rnacentral:misc_RNA from 1 species
GGAAGGAUCAUUACAUGGCGGAGAAGGUGGGCACCUGGCAACCCCAGGUGUGAUGCCUUCACGCUUCUCUACCCUUGUCUAUUUGCACCUUUUGUCGUUCCCUCGGCGGGUCUCGAUCCGCCGGCGGCAACAUUACAAACCUCUUGCAGUAGUAUCCAAACUCUUCUGAUCAAAAUAUCAAAUCGUUACAACUUUCAACAAUGGAUCUCUUGGUUCUGGCAUCGAUGAAGAACGCAGCGAAAUGCGAUAAGUAGUGUGAAUUGCAGAAUUCAGUGAAUCAUCGAAUCUUUGAACGCACAUUGCGCCCCUUGGUAUUCCAUGGGGCAUGCCUGUUCGAGCGUCAUUUACACCCCUCAAGCUCUGCUUGGUGUUGGGCGUCUGUCCCCUUUUUUUUCAGUGGACUCGCCCCAAAGGCAUUGGCAGCGGUCCUGUCGGGCCUCCUAAUCGCGCAGCACUGUUCGCGCUUCCUGGAGCCUGUAGCGGAUUCAGCAUCCAUCAAGCCCAAUCUUUCUUAACUUGACCUCGAAUCAGGUAGGGAUACCCGCUGAACUUAAGCAUAUCAAUAAGCGGAGGAAAAGAAACCAACUGGGAUUGCCCUAGUAACGGCGAGUGAAGCGGCAACAGCUCAAAUUUUAAAUCUGGCUCUCUUAGGGAGUCCGAGUUGUAAUUUGCAGAGGGUGCUUUGGCUUUGGUUGCGGUCUAAGUUCCUUGGAACAGGACAUCACAGAGGGUGAGAAUCCCGUAUGUGGUCGCAUUCCAUCGCCGUGUAAAGCCCCUUCGACGAGUCGAGUUGUUUGGGAAUGCAGCUCUAAAUGGGAGGUAAAUUUCUUCUAAAGCUAAAUACCGGCCAGAGACCGAUAGCGCACAAGUAGAGUGAUCGAAAGAUGAAAAGCACUUUGGAAAGAGAGUCAAACAGCACGUGAAAUUGUUGAAAGGGAAGCGCUUGCAGCCAGACUUGCCCGUCGUUGCUCAUCCCGGCUCUUGCCUGGAGCAUUCUUCGGCGGGCAGGCCAGCAUCAGUUUGGGCGGCCGGAUAAAGACCUCUGUCAUGUAUCUCUCUUCGGGGAGGCCUUAUAGGGGAGGUGUAACACGGCCAGUCCGGACUGAGGUUCGCGCAUCUGCUAGGAUGCUGGCGUAAUGGCUGUAAGCGGCCCGUCUUGAAACACGGACCAAGGAGUCUAACAUCUAUGCGAGUGUUUGGGUGUCAAGCCCGGGCGCGCAAUGAAAGUGAACGGAGGUGGGAACCCUUCGGGGUGCACCAUCGACCGAUCCUGAUGUCUUCGGAUGGAUUUGAGUAAGAGCAUAGCUGUUGGGACCCGAAAGAUGGUGAACUAUGCUUGAAUAGGGUGAAGCCAGAGGAAACUCUGGUGGAGGCUCGCAGCGGUUCUGACGUGCAAAUCGAUCGUCAAAUUUGGGCAUAGGGGCGAAAGACUAAUCGAACUAUCUAGUAGCUGGUUCCUGC